rnacentral:rRNA from 1 species
GACGAACGCUGGCGGCGUGCUUAACACAUGCAAGUCGAACGGAAAGGCCCUGCUUUUGUGGGGUGCUCGAGUGGCGAACGGGUGAGUAACACGUGAGUAACCUGCCCUUGACUUUGGGAUAACUUCAGGAAACUGGGGCUAAUACCGGAUAGGAGCUCCUGCUGCAUGGUGGUGGUUGGAAAGUUUCGGCGGUUGGGGAUGGACUCGCGGCUUAUCAGCUUGUUGGUGGGGUAGUGGCUUACCAAGGCUUUGACGGGUAGCCGGCCUGAGAGGGUGACCGGCCACAUUGGGACUGAGAUACGGCCCAGACUCCUACGGGAGGCAGCAGUGGGGAAUAUUGCACAAUGGGCGGAAGCCUGAUGCAGAAACGCCGCGUGCGGGAUGACGGCCUUCGGGUUGUAAACCGCUUUCGCCUGUGACGAAGCGUGAGUGACGGUAAUGGGUAAAGAAGCACCGGCUAACUACGUG